rnacentral:rRNA from 1 species
CCCGUCGUCACACACCGCCCGUCAAGCCAUGGAAGCUGGGUGUACCUAAAGUCGGUAACCGCAAGGAGCCGCCUAGGGUAAAACUAGUAACUGGGGCU